rnacentral:rRNA from 1 species
UACGUAGGGUGCAAGCGUUACUCGGAAUUACUGGGCGUAAAGCGUGCGCAGGCGGUGAUGUAAGACAGAUGUGAAAUCCCAGGGCUCAACCUUGGAACUGCAUUUGUGACUGCAUCGCUGGAGUGCGGCAGAGGGGGAUGGAAUUCCGCGUGUAGCAGUGAAAUGCGUAGAUAUGCGGAGGAACACCGAUGGCGAAGGCAAUCCCCUGGGCCUGCACUGACGCUCAUGCACGAAAGCGUGGGGAGCAAACAGG